rnacentral:rRNA from 1 species
GACGAACGCUGGCGGCGUGCUUAACACAUGCAAGUCGAACGGAAAGGCCCUGCUUUUGUGGGGUGCUCGAGUGGCGAACGGGUGAGUAACACGUGAGUAACCUGCCCUUGACUUUGGGAUAACUUCAGGAAACUGGGGCUAAUACCGGAUAGGAGCUCCUGCUGCAUGGUGGGGGUUGGAAAGUUUCGGCGGUUGGGGAUGGACUCGCGGCUUAUCAGCUUGUUGGUGGGGUAGUGGCUUACCAAGGCUUUGACGGGUAGCCGGCCUGAGAGCGUGACCGGCCACAUUGGGACUGAGAUACGGCCCAGACUCCUACGGGAGGCAGCAGUGGAGAAUAUUGCACAAUGGGCGGAAGCCUGAUGCAGCAACGCCGCGUGCGGGAUGACGGCCUUCGGGUUGUAAACCGAUUUCGAAUGUGACGAAGCGUGAGUGACGGUAAUGGGUAAAGAAGCAACGGCUAACUACGUG